CCGGCGACCAGCCGCGCCUCUGCCUCCCACCUCCCCGGCGACCCGCCGCGGCCCUGCCUCCCACCCCCGGCGACCCGCCGCGGCCCUGCCUCCCACCCCCCGGCGACCCGCCGCGGCCCUGCCUCCCACCUCCCCGGCGACCCGCCGCGGCCCCGGCCUCCCACCUCCCCGGCGACCAGCCGCGGCCCCGCCUCCCACCUCCCCGGCGACCAGCCACGGCCCCGCCUCCCACCUCCCGAGCAACCGGCCAUGGCCCUGCGCCCCACCUCCCCGGCGACCAGCCGUGGACACGCUUCCCACCACCCUUGUGACCAACCGUGGCCCCGCACCAGCGUAUCCACGCCACCUCCGACUCCUUGUUGAUCUUGCUGGUAGAUCUCGGGUGAAGUCCUCCAGCACCCAUUGAUGCUUACCCGCCACCACUCUGCCUCCUUCCCGAUGGGACUACGCCGCCGCGUACAAGCAGUUCAUCACCGCCACCCCAGGCCGUUCAAUGCCGCCGCCAUGGACGCGCCCCACUCCAGCGCCAUGGUCUGCGCUUCAGCGCAAACACUGGAGCCUGCAGGAGGAGCCGCGAGGUCGAGAGCCUCCCUGUCGGCAGUCCAACUGCUAGCUCCGCCGCCGGUCGCUCAAGGAGCUAAGUACAGGCCACCCCGUGCUCUACCCUGGAUCCUGCUGUCUUGUGCCUCACUGACUCUCCCUCUCUGAUCGAUCUCGCAUAGUUUAUGUUCCUUACAUUCCCUACUGUGCAGUGUCGAGGGACUUUAGUUCUGAACCCUUUUUCUGAGCUUACUGUUCUAUUUGUGUUACCUUAUCCUCACAUCAGUCUUAUGAUUUAGACUAGAUUUCAGCCAUGAUUUAGACUUUCUUUUUGCAAUAAAUAAGUUCACUAUCUCAGUACAACUAGUUGACCAUCUCGGUUCAACUAUUAUUGGGUGUGCCAAAAGUAGAUGCUUGACUGCCUUAUUAUUAUCACUAGUGCCUUGUUCAGAUUACUGUUGGUGGUGCACGCCACUGACGGUAGUUGGUAGCUACGGCUGAUGCACAUUUUUUCACUACUGUUGUAACCUGAAGCACUGCUUAGCUACUGGUUGUGCGUGCAGGGUGAUGUGAGUGAGAUAGAGAUAGAGAUAGCAAAUGAAAUGAUCUUCCACAUGUACUAACUCAUGACACUGAAGAACGUUCAACUAUGUUUCAUCUCUGAACUUAAACGCGUUUGUUCUUUGAGCUAAAAUUCCUAGAGCUUCAGUCAAACUUUUGGUGAUUCUUGUACCUAUUGUUCAGAAAUCAAUGGUGAAAAAUUCUGAUUGCAGCAAUGGCAUGCUCCCAGCCCGCCAAGACUGGAUCAUUUGACACUACUUCUCUGCACAGUGUGGCUCGACGCGCAGCCCGCCGGCUCCGUCGUGUACAUCCAGACAAGACGCUAUGGUGUACAAUUUAAUGCAUGAAUUUUGAAGCAAUCCCGAUGUCUCUUCGGAAAGCAUUCAUGGUUAAAAAGCAGCGGCAGCCUCUGUUCAAGUUGAGCACUCUAUUUUUUUCUCUGUUUUGCCCGAUUGAUAUCAGCCACUGCAAGUCCUUUUCUCCAGCCAUGAAUUCUAUGUUUCCACAUUUAGAUAUACUAGUUGAUCUGCUGAAAGAUACGAUAUGUGUACUGCUGAUAAUCUCAAACAUGUUUUACUUGAUUUUAGAAAACAUGUAAUUUUGUUGUGCUGCUUUUUAAUGUCUCCAGCAGUCCUACUUCUCCAUGACGACAAGGACGACGUCGCCAUGCGUGCUCGGCCGUGGUGUGCACGCUCUCCUUUCUUUCUCCUUCCGAGACAGUGAGGUGCUCCAGCAAGCGGCCGCUGGUGGGAUCCGCAGGCGCUCGCCGCCGCCAUCUCCGACUGGAUCUAGCCUGGCUCCCCCUGGUUGCUAACACGACUUGUGCUGCUCUGGUGCUAGUGUGGGUGGGUAACAAGUUCAACUACGAGUCCAGACCAAGUUCUGGUGCCCUGGCCUGCUCCUGACGAAGCACCCGCGCUGGCGACACGCAGCGUGCCCCGGCCCCAUGUCAGUUCCGGCGUUGCCCUUCGCCGGCUCAGCGCAAAGGCUGUUUUACUUGACAUAAAAAUUAGUAUAUGUUCUAUUGUAAAAACAUAUCUAAAAUGUCAUGAUGCAUGCUAGCAGAAAUCUGAAAAUACACUCAGUUCAGUUCCUAUAUUUUAUUUCAGUUCAAUUUAGAACUAUUUGCAACUGUUCAGACUCGAGUGUUCCUAUAUUUUAUUUCAGUUCAAUUUAGAAGUAUU